GGGCGGAACCCUGCACGGAGCUCAACGCCUGGGGACCCGGCAGAAGCGAAUUGAGGUGAGGGAGGAGCUCAGAGCUGUGCAGGUCGGCGAUGCCCGGGGCUGGCGUUCCCGCAGCGGCAUCGAGCCCCAAGUCCGGGGCCUCCGGGUCGUCGCAGGUGUCGGACUCCCUGAGGCGCUUUGUGUUAUUCUUGGAAAAUUUCGCACCACUUGUGAAUUCCUUGAGCCUGGGCAUUGCGAGCCCACUUCUGUUGGGCCCGUCUCCUUUGCGCUUUGCUCAGAUUGAGACUCAGUUGGCGCUUCAGCAGCUGAAUGCCGUUGCCUCCCAUGGUUCAACACCACCUUAUACUUUUUUAAAUCAGGCAUUCUUGAAAGUAGCCAUGUCGAGACCCAGGUUUAAUCCUCGAGGGACCUUUCCACUUCAAAGGCCACGAGCACCUAAUCCUCCUGGGAUGAGGCCUCCAGGACCAUUUGUGAGGCCUGGCUCUAUGGGUCUUCCAAGAUUUUACCCAGCAGGGAGAGCCCGUGGAAUUCCACACAGAUUUCCUGGCCACGGAUCUUAUCAGAACAUGGGACCACAAAGAAUGAAUGUUCAGGUAACUCAACACCGAACCGAUCCAAGAUUAACCAAAGAAAAAUUGGAUUUUCCUGAAGCACAACAAAAGAAGGGGAAGCCUCAUGGUAGUCGGUGGGAUGAUGAGUCUCAUAUAACUCCACCGGUAGAAGUGAAACAGAGCUCUGUAACCCAGGUUACAGAGCAAAGUCCUAAAGUACAGAGCCGCUACACAAAAGAGAGUGCUUCAAGUAUUUUAGCAAGUUUUGGAUUAUCAAAUGAAGAUCUAGAAGAACUUAGCCGCUAUCCUGAUGAACAGCUAACUCCUGAAAAUAUGCCAUUAAUAUUGAGGGAUAUAAGAAUGCGAAAAAUGAGCCGCCGAUUACCUAAUUUACCUUCUCACAGCAGAAAUAAGGAAACACUUAGUAAUGAAACAGUUUCAAGUAAUGUGAUUGAUUAUGGGCAUGCAAGCAAAUAUGGUUAUACAGAAGAUCCACUUGAAGUACGUAUUUAUGAUCCUGAAAUUCCAACUGAUGAAGUAAAGAAUGAAUUUCAGCCCCAGCAGAGCAUUUCUGCAACUGUUUCAACUCCAAAUGUGAUAUGUAAUUCUGUGUUUCCUGGUGGAGAUAUGUUUCGUCAGAUGGACUUCCCUGGUGAGUCCUCCAGUCAGUCUUUUUUCCCAGUUGAGAGUGGAACCAAGAUGUCAGGCUUACACAUUUCAGGACAGUCAGUCCUUGAACCUGUAAAAUCCAUCAGCCAGUCUAUUAGCCAAACAGUUAGCCAGACAACGAGCCAGUCUCUGAAUCCUCCAUCUAUGAACCAGGUACCCUUUACAUUUGAAUUAGAUGCAGUUUUACGCCAACAAGAGCGGAUCUCACAGAAGUCUGUGAUCAGUUCAGCUGAUGCACAUGGUGGACCUACAGAAAGUAAAAAGGAUUACCAAUCAGAGGCUGACUUGCCUAUUCGGUCUCCCUUUGGGAUUGUGAAAGCUUCGUGGCUACCAAAGUUUACACAAGCUGGUGCCCAGAAAAUGAAGAGACUGCCAACCCCUUCUAUGAUGAAUGAUUAUUAUGCAGCAUCUCCAAGAAUAUUUCCACAUUUGUGUUCUCUGUGUAACGUAGAAUGUAGUCAUUUGAAGGACUGGAUUCAGCAUCAAAAUACCUCCACCCACAUUGAGAGCUGUCGGCAGUUAAGGCAACAAUACCCUGAUUGGAAUCCUGAGAUCCUCCCAUCCAGAAGAAAUGAGAGCAAUAGGAAAGAAAAUGAAACUCCAAGAAGACGUUCUCAUUCCCCCAGCCCCAGACAUUCUAGGAGAUCAAGCUCAGGUCACAGAAUCCGUCGCUCUCGAAGUCCAGUCCGUUAUAUCUAUAGACCAAGGAGUCGAAGUCCAAGAAUUUGCCACCGUUUCAUUUCUAAAUAUAGAUCCAGAUCCAGGUCCAGAUCCAGGUCCCGUUCUCCAUAUCGUAGUCGGAAUCUCCUUAGAAGAAGUCCGAAGUCCUAUCGGUCAGCUAGCCCAGAGAGGACAUCAAGAAAAUCAGUGAGAUCAGAUAGGAAAAAGGCAUUAGAAGAUGGAGGACAACGUUCUGUGCAUGGGACAGAAGUUACUAAACAGAAACAUACUGAAACAGUUGAUAAAGGGCUCUCACCAGCACAAAAGCCAAAACUUGCCAGUGGAACAAAGCCAUCAGCGAAAUCUCUAAGCUCUGUAAAGAGUGAUUCACAUUUAGGAGCAUAUUCUGCUCACAAGUCUGAGAAUCUGGAAGAUGACACUUUACCAGAAGGUAAACAGGAGUCUGGUAAAAGUGCUUUGGCCCAGCGGAAGCCACAGAAGGAUCAGUCUUUGAGUUCCAACUCAAUUCUUCUUGUAUCUGAACUUCCAGAGGAUGGCUUUACUGAAGAAGAUAUUAGAAAAGCAUUUCUGCCAUUUGGAAAAAUUAGUGAUGUUCUCCUUGUUCCUUGUAGAAAUGAGGCUUACUUGGAAAUGGAGCUUAGAAAAGCAGUUACUUCAAUCAUGAAGUACAUUGAAACAAUGCCUCUUGUGAUAAAAGGAAAAAGUGUGAAAGUAUGUGUUCCAGGAAAGAAAAAGCCACAGAACAAAGAAAUGAAGAAGAAACCUUCAGAUAUUAAGAAAUCAUCUGCAUCUGCUUUAAAAAAAGAGACAGAUGCUUCAAAAACCAUGGAAACUGUCAGUUCAAGCUCUUCUGCCAAAUCUGGACAAAUAAAGUCAUCUACGGUCAAGGUGAACAAAUGUGCAGGGAAAUCAGCGGGUUCUGUAAAAUCUGUGGUUACGGUAGCUGCGAAAGGUAAAGCUUCUAUCAAAACAGCAAAAUCUGGAAAGAAGUCUCUAGAAGCUAAAAAGUCUGGGAAUAUCAAAAACAAAGACUCCAAUAAACCCGUGACUGUACCAGCAAACUCUGAAAUCAAGGCUAGUUCAGAAGACAAAGCCACUGGAAAGAGUGCUGAAGAAAGUCCUUCAGGUACUUUGGAGGCCACAGAAAAGGAACCAGUGAACAAGGAAUCGGAGGAAAUGAGUGUAGUAUUUAUUUCUAAUUUGCCUAACAAAGGAUAUUCUACAGAAGAAAUUUACAACUUAGCAAAACCAUUUGGUGCUUUGAAGGACAUUUUGGUUUUAUCAUCUCAUAAAAAGGCAUAUAUAGAAAUAAACAAAAAAUCUGCAGAUUCUAUGGUAAAAUUUUACACCUGCUUCCCAAUAUCCAUGGAUGGAAAUCAGCUCUCCAUAAGUAUGGCUCCUGAGCAUGUGGACUUAAAAGAUGAGGAAGCUCUCUUUACAACUUUGAUUCAAGAAAAUGACCCAGAGGCAAAUAUUGAUAAAAUUUACAACCGAUUUGUACAUCUUGACAAUUUACCUGAAGAUGGACUUCAGUGUGUGCUUUGUGUUGGGCAUCAGUUUGGAAAAGUGGAUCGCUAUAUGUUCAUGAGUAACAAAAACAAGGUGAUCCUUCAGUUAGAAAGUCCUGAAUCUGCUCUGUCAAUGUACAAUUUUUUGAAACAAAAUCCACAAAACAUAGGUGAGCACGUGUUGACCUGCACUUUAUCUCCAAAGACUGACUCAGAGGUUCAAAGGAAGAAUGAUCUGGAACUAGGAAAAGGAAGUACUUUUAGCCCUGACUUGAAAAACAGUCCUGUUGAUGAAAGUGAGGUACAAACAGCAGCUGAUAGUUCCUCUGUUAAACCUAGUGAGGUUGAAGAAGAAACUACUUCCAAUAUUGGAACAGAAACUUCAGUGCAUCAGGAAGAACUUGGUAAGGAAGAACCCAAACAAGCAUUGUGUGAGUCUGACUUUGCAAUUCAAACACUAGAACUUGAAGCUCAAGGAGCAGAGGUCAGCAUAGAAAUUCCUCUUGUAGCAUCCACUCCAGCCAAUAUUGAGUUAUUCAGUGAAAAUAUAGAUGAGUCUGCUUUAAACCAGCAGAUGUACACCAGUGACUUUGAAAAGGAAGAGGCAGAAGUUACAAACCCUGAAACUGAAUUAGCAGUAUCUGACAGUGUCUUCAUAGAAGAAAGGAACAUCAAGGGAAUUAUAGAAGAUUCUCCAUCUGAAACAGAAGAUAUAUUUUCUGGAAUUGUACAGCCUAUGGUAGAUGCCAUAGCUGAAGUGGAUAAACAUGAAACUGUUUCAGAAGUACUGCCAUCUGCUUGUAAUGUGACCCAAGCACCAGGAAGUUACAUUGAAGAUGAGAAGGUUGUGAGCAAAAAGGAUAUUGCUGAAAAAGUUAUCUUGGAUGAAAAGGAGGAAGAUGAAUUUAAUGUUAAGGAGACCAGAAUGGAUUUACAAGUAAAAACAGAGAAGGCUGAGAAGAAUGAAGCUAUCAUAUUUAAAGAAAAAUUGGAGAAGAUUAUAGCAGCAAUAAGAGAAAAGCCAAUUGAAAGUUCUGUAAUCAAGGCAGACCCAACUAAAGGAGUGGAUCAGACCAGUAAGCCUGAUGAAACUGGUAAAAGUAGUGUGCUGACUGUAUCAAAUGUAUAUAGUAGUAAAUCAAGCAUCAAGGCUACUGUGGUCUCUUCUCCUAAAGCAAAAAGUACACCUUCAAAAACUGAAAGUCACAGCACCUUCCCAAAACCUGUGCUUAGAGAGCAAAUAAAGGCUGAAAAGAAAGUUUCAGCCAAGGAAUUUGGUCUGCUUAAAAAUACCAGAUCAGGCUUGGCAGAAAGCAACAGUAAAUCCAAACCCACUCAGAUUGGUGUUAACAGAGGGUGCAGUGGAAGGAUCUCAGCCCUUCAGUGCAAGGAUUCUAAAGUGGAUUACAAGGACAUAACAAAACAGUCUCAGGAAACAGAGACUAAACCUCCCAUCAUGAAACGGGAUGACAGCAACAAUAAGGCAUUGGCUUUGCAGAACACUAAGAAUUCUAAAAGUACUACAGAUAGAAGUUCCAAAUCGAAAGAGGAACCAUUAUUUACAUUUAAUUUGGAUGAAUUUGUUACUGUGGAUGAAGUCAUAGAAGAAGUAAAUCCUUCUCAAGCCAAGCAGAAUCCAUUAAAAGGAAAAAGAAAGGAAGCCCUCAAAAUUUCUCCUUCCCCUGAACUUAACUUAAAAAAGAAAAAGGGGAAAACUUCUGUCCCUCACAGUGUUGAGGGAGAAUUGUCCUUUGUAACAUUAGAUGAAAUAGGGGAGGAAGAAGAUGCAACUGUGCAAGCUCUAGUCACUGUGGAUGAAGUCAUUGAUGAAGAAGAGCUCAAUAUGGAAGAAAUGGUAAAAAAUUCCAACUCCCUUCUUACCUUAGAUGAACUAAUUGACCAAGAUGAUUGCAUUCCCCACAGUGGACCUAAAGAUGUUACUGUCCUGUCGAUGGCUGAAGAACAAGAUCUACAACAGGAACGCUUGGUAACUGUGGAUGAAAUUGGAGAAGUAGAAGAGUCAGCAGACAUAACUUUUGCUACUUUGAAUGCUAAAAGAGAUAAAAGGGAUUCUAUUGGGUUCAUUUCUUCCCAGAUGCCUGAAGACCCUUCCACUUUAGUUACUGUAGAUGAAAUACAGGAUGACAGCAGUGAUUUUCACUUAAUGACUUUGGAUGAAGUAACUGAAGAGGAUGAAAACUCUCUGGCUGAUUUUAACAACCUUAAAGAAGAGCUGAAUUUUGUUACUGUGGAUGAAGUUGGAGAUGAGGAAGAUGGAGACAAUGAUUCAAAAGUUGAGUUAGCACGAGGCAAAAUUGAGCACCAUACAGAUAAAAAAGGAAAUAGAAAGAGGAGAGCUGUGGACCCAAAGAAGUCAAAGCUUGAUUCUUUCUCCCAAGUAGGUCCAGGAAGUGAAACUGUUACACAAAAAGAUCUGAAAACCAUGCCUGAAAGACAUUUGGCAGCUAAAACGCCAAUGAAGAGAGUUAGAAUUGGGAAAUCAUCACCCUCACAAAAAGUGGCAGAACCAACAAAAGGCGAAGAGGCCUUCCAAAUGAGUGAAGGAGGUAAAGGGGCUAUUCGGGUGGGGAAAAAACACACAACAUGAGAUCAUGAUAGAGCUUUGACAUAUAACCAGGCAAGAAACUAGAAAGGCAGCAGCCAGGCUUAGAAGAGCCUUGUAAACUUCUUUCUUCAUAAUUUAGAGAGAUUUUGGAACAGUGACAAUAGAACAAAAAAAUAUUUGUGGAAAUUACUCACAAGAUGUUAUUGUGACCAUGUUCUAGCAUCAGGGAUCAAUAAUUUAUUAACUGUCUGUUUACAGGCAUCCAGCCUGUAAAAAACAGAAUGCUUAAUAAUAUUUAAGUUGAUGCAAAUAAGGAACAUUGUCACCGAUAAAUAACUUGUUAUUGUAUCUAAUAUUUCAUUGUAUCCUAUAUCCUUCCUGUUGUUGACAGUAAAAUACUAAGGUCAUUCCUGAUUUCUAAGAGUGCAUUGAUAGGAAAGGCAAAGGAAAGUGUCUUCCAGUGUGACGAUAUCCCUUCAGCAUCUUCUUUGCAGUACUGAGGAAAAGUUCUUUGAAUCUGAUCCCUCUACCCUCCUUUCCUCCUCCAACGUCUAUUAAAACUCUCUUUAUUUUAUUUGCUGACCAGUGGUGACGAUAUUUCCUUCUCCAUUACCUAGCUAACUCACACUGCUUUCUUUUAUAUUUACCUAAGAAAAUGAAUCUUCUCUGAUGGCCACCUUGAGUUUUACCUUUAUUGACUCCUUACACAUAAACUACAGCAAACUUCCUAUAUCAUUAGAGGACAAAAAUCAAUGUUGGCUUUGGAAUUCCCCUAGCAACAAAAUACAGCAUAUAGAAUAGUGGUUUUCAGCCUGUGGGUCACUACCCCUGUGGCAAUCCUCUGUCUUCAAAAACUACUUAGAUUACGAUUCAUAACAGGAGCAAGAUUAUAGUUAUGAAGUAGCAACAAAAGUAAUUUUAUGGUUGGAGAUCACCACAACAUGAGGAACUGUAUUAAAGGAUCACAGCAUUAGGAAGGCUGAGAAUCACUGAUCCAGUUGAUGACGCUGAACUAAAGGAUUCAGAACCUGAUGAAAAACGCAGGAAGACUCAAGACUCUUCUGUAGGCAAAUCAAUGACAUCUGAUGUCCCUGGAGAUUUGGACUUUCUUGUUCCGAAGGCUGGAUUUUUCUGUCCAAUUUGCUCCCUCUUCUACUCAGGUGAAAAAGCAAUGGCAAAUCACUGCAAGAGCACACGUCAUAAACAAAAUACAGAGAAGUUCAUGGCCAAGCAAAGAAAGGAAAAGGAGCAGAAUGAGACUGAAGAAAGAAGCUCUAGGUGAUGGAGGAAAGGAGAAAAGAAUUCAUUAGAAAUUCAUUUAGGGUCCAGUUGAUUUGUGUAUUUUUGUUAUCAUUUAAUUUGUAAUUUUUUUGUUUCAAAAGCAUAUUCAUGUUGUACAAAUUUCUGAUUGCCCUUGAUGUAGAGAAACUGAUGGGAAAAUAUGAUGGGUUUGAUUUUUAUAUCAAAUCAUCAGGCAUGGAUAAUACCUUUUAGAAGUGUUUAAAUAAAUGUUCCUACUGUAUAUUUCAA